rnacentral:lncRNA from 1 species
CCGGUUGGACCUUUUGCGAAGUUUGAGAAGGAUUUGAGGGGAGUAACUCCAGGUUUUUGGAAGAGAAAGGAGUGGUGGGUGUUUGGGUGUGACUUGGUCGAAUUUAGGAUUUGAACUCUGAAUUUAGAUUUAAGAUUUAAUGAGAUCGAGAGAGAUUCAAUGGAAAAGGGGUGUGGAUUUGGAAAGAGGAAAGUGAGGAGGUCAUGUUGUGUAAAAAUGGUGGUGAUUGGGCCAUUGUCACCGGCGGAGGUGAUUUCCAGCCGGCGGUUCAUGGCGGGGACGAUGGGGUUCUCUAGGGUUACG